UACGUAGGCAGCGAGCGUUGUUCGGAGUUACUGGGCGUAAAGCGUGCGCAGGCGGUUCGUUGUGUCCGUCGUGAAAGCCCCGGGCUUAACCUGGGAACUGCGAUGGAAACUAGCGAGCUGGAGUGUGGCAGGAGGGGGGUGGAAUUCCGCGUGUAGCAGUGAAAUGCGUAGAGAUGCGGAGGAACACCGAUGGCGAAGGCAGCCCCCUGGGCUAACACUGACGCUGAGACGACGAAGCGUGGGGAGCGAACAGG
rnacentral:rRNA from 1 species